rnacentral:rRNA from 1 species
GACGAACGCUGGCGGCGUGCCUAAUACAUGCCAGUUGAGCGCUGAAGGUUGGUACUUGUACCAACUGGAUGAGCAGCGAACGGGUGAGUAACGCGUGGGGAAUCUGCCUUUGAGCGGGGGACAACAUUUGGAAACGAAUGCUAAUACCGCAUAAAAACUUUAAACACAAGUUUUAAGUUUGAAAGAUGCAAUUGCAUCACUCAAAGAUGAUCCCGCGUUGUAUUAGCUAGUUGGUGAGGUAAAGGCUCACCAAGGCGAUGAUACAUAGCCGACCUGAGAGGGUGAUCGGCCACAUUGGAACUGAGACACGGCCCAAACUCCUACGGGAGGCAGCAGAAGAGAAUCUUCGGAAAUGGACGAAAGUCUGACCGAGCAACGCCGCGUGGGUGAAGAAGGUUUUCGGAUCGUAAAACUCUGUUAGUAGAGAAGAACGUUGGUGAGAGUGGAAAGCACACAAAGUGACGGUAACUACCCAGAAAGGGACGGCUAACUACGUG